rnacentral:sRNA from 1 species
AGAACUGUCCAAAGAGUACUACUGUUAAAUGGAAGAAUUCAAACUUAAUUUAAGCUACAACCAAACUACCAGAAUCUUAGUGCAGUACUACAAAAUGUGUUUAGAAAGACAAGAUGUUCAAAAUUUCAACCUUAAUACUGAAAUAGCUACAGUACUCCAGUUCUAACAGUUAAUUAAAGUAUUCUCGACAAUACACGGUGAUGCAGGUAUGUAAAUAUUAGUCAUUUCUCAUACAAUUGCAAUCUCAGUGUGAACUUUGAGUCCAUAGAUUCGGUAGUACCAAAGUACCAAUGAUAGGAUUCAUAUUAAACUUUACGGUUAAUCAAAUUUGUAUUUCAUGCAAAUAGCCUAUUAACAAAUGCAUAAAGUUAGCAUUAGUAUAAUUUAUUAAGAGGGUAUCAAGAGAAAAUGCUAUAUGAUAUUUAUCAAAUAAACUCUGAAGGUGAACAUCCAUGCUACCUUCUAUCCUUUCAUAAAAUAAGAAUGAAAAUCCUCAAUCUCUCCAGACAUGCUCAAUUUUCCUGGGAGUUAUGGAUUGUGCUUGUUGUAUUUUAGUAAAGAACACCUUGGACUUAAUUGAAAAUGAUUGAUGAAACCAGACUAUAAAACCAAGAUACUCCCGCUGAUUUCACAGACCAACCAAAAGUCAAUCGUGACCCAAAUGGGAUGCUCUUGGGCAUUUGAAAUUUAUGUAGUUGUAGUGGUUUAAAAUCUAAUUCUUAUUGUACAUUGCAUGAGAAUUUGUAAAUAAAUUGUCGUUAAGAUU